rnacentral:rRNA from 1 species
CCUACGGGGGGCAGCAGUGGGGGAUAUUGCACAAUGGGGGAAACCCUGAUGCAGCGACGCCGCGUGUGGGAAGACGGUCCUCUGGAUUGUAAACCACUGUCCCCAGGGACGAAAAUGACGGUACCUGGGGAGGAAGCUCCGGCUAACUACGUGCCAGCAGCCGCGGUAAUACGUAGGGAGCGAGCGUUGUCCGGAAUUACUGGGUGUAAAGGGAGCGUAGGCGGGGAUGCAAGUUGGGUGUCAAAACUACCGGCUCAACUGGUAGUCGCACUCAAAACUGCAGCUCUUGAGUGAAGUAGAGGCAGGCGGAAUUCCUAGUGUAGCGGUGAAAUGCGUAGAUAUUAGGAGGAACACCGGCGGCGAAGGCGGCCUGCUGGACUGAAACUGACGUUGAGGCUCGAAAGCGUGGGGAGCAAACAGGAUUAGAUACCCCUGUAGUC